UACGAAGGGGGCUAGCGUUGUUCGGAAUCACUGGGCGUAAAGCGCACGUAGGCGGCCAUGUAAGUCGGAUGUGAAAGCCCCGGGCUUAACCCGGGAAGUGCAUUCGAUACUGCGUGGCUUGAGUAUCGGAGAGGAUGGUGGAAUUCUCGGUGUAGAGGUGAAAUUCGUAGAUAUCGAGAGGAACACCGGUGGCGAAGGCGGCCAACUGGACGAAUACUGACGCUGAGACACGAAAGCGUGGGGAGCAAACAGG
rnacentral:rRNA from 1 species